AAAAUAUAAAAAAUUUUAAAAUUUGAACCAACCGUUUUAUCAGAAAAAUUACACUGGUUAUAUAGCAGUUUGACAAACACUUAUUUCGAUCAUUGAGAAACUUAAUAUUCCCUUAACAACACAACGUAAUUAAAUCGUUAAGCUGAUUUUACAGAGUUAUCUCCCUGUAGUGUUAGGUACCACCUUAAAUAGUUUGUGUUUGAAUUUGAUGCAUUAUGAUUCUACAUAAAUAUCAAAAGAAAUUCUAAACAAACCAACUACAUGUAAUAGACUAUACCAAAAAGACAAACGAGAGUGUAAAACCACACUCCAACAAGGGACGCCAAACAACCUCAGUUUCUUAUCUUCAUUACAUUGUCAUUGCUACGUUUUGUCCGGG
rnacentral:lncRNA from 1 species